UGAGCAACCUACCGAAAUGUGGGGGAUAGCCGGCCUAACGGCCGAGUAAUACCGCAUACGCUCUCGAUGAGGCAUUUCAUUGAGAGGAAACCUACGGGACAUUUCGAGGGGCUCGCGGCCUAUCAGCUAGUUGGAGAGGUAACGCUCACCAAGGCAACGACGGGUAGCUGGUCUGAGAGGAUGGCCAGCCACAUUGGGACUGAGACACGGUCCAGACCUCCGUACGGGAGCA
rnacentral:rRNA from 1 species